rnacentral:rRNA from 1 species
GACGAACGCUGGCGGCGUGCUUAACACAUGCAAGUCGAACGGAAAGGCCCUGCUUUUGUGGGGUGCUCGAGUGGCGAACGGGUGAGUAACACGUGAGUAACCUGCCCUUGACUUUGGGAUAACUUCAGGAAACUGGGGCUAAUACCGGAUAGGAGCUCCUGCUGCAUGGUGGGGGUUGGACAGUUUCGGCGGUUGGGGAUGGACUCGCGGGUUAUCAGCUUGUUGGUGGGGUAGUGGCUUACCAAGGCUUUGACGGGUAGCCGGCAUGAGAGGGUGACCGGCCACAUGGGGACUGAGAUACGGCCCAGACUCCUACGGGAGGCAGCAGUGGGGAAUAUUGCACAAUGGGCGGAAGCCUGAUGCAGCAACGCCGCGUGCGGGAUGACGGCCUUCGGGUUGUAAACCGCUGUCGCCUGUGACGAAGCGUGAGUGACGGUAAUGGGUAAAGAAGCACCGGCUAACUACGUG